GAGAGAAAAAUAACGUAACAUUCAUUUGUAUGCGAACUCCGCUGAUCAGACGUGACUUGUCAGGGGGGACGCGUUCAUUCCUGAAAGAAGGAACUCAGAGCGGCGUAUGCACACGAAAAGGCAGAUUUUUAAAAGCUGCAUAGUAGAGUACAUACAUGUUCUUCUCAAAUUAUGAAUUCACAGUUUAAUGUGGGAUCAGGAUGAAACAAAUAUAACACUGGGAAAAUAAAGACUGAAAUCAAACUUGA